rnacentral:rRNA from 1 species
ACAACGCUGGCGGCGUGCCUAAUACAUGCAAGUCGAGCGAACAGAUAAGGAGCUUGCUCCUUUGACGUUAGCGGCGGACGGGUGAGUAACACGUGGGUAACCUACCUAUAAGACUGGAAUAACUCCGGGAAACCGGGGCUAAUGCCGGAUAACAUUUAGAACCGCAUGGUUCUAAAGUGAAAGAUGGUUUUGCUAUCACUUAUAGAUGGACCCGCGCCGUAUUAGCUAGUUGGUAAGGUAAUGGCUUACCAAGGCAACGAUACGUAGCCGACCUGAGAGGGUGAUCGGCCACACUGGAA